UUUUUAUUUGAUCUCUAUUAUUUUGAUUAUUAUUUAUUUUAUCUAAGAUAAUUUAUAAAAUUAUAUUUUUUUUCAAUUUCAUUUCUUUUCAACUUUUUAAUUUAUAAAAUUUAUUCAUCAUUAUGUUAAUAAACUUGAAAAAAAAAACAUUAAUAAGUUAUUUUCCUGUUCAUUUUACAAAACAUAACCAAACACUAAAAAAUAUUUUUCAAUUUAUUUUUCAUUACACUACCAAAUAUCAAAAAAUAUUUUUCUAAAACUUACUUUCUUAAAAAAUUUACUUUUCAGCAAACAAACAAUUUUCUUCUCUAAAAAGAAAGUCAUUGCAGCCUCAGUUGAUCACGGGAAAGCCCCAGAACAGCCAAUCCCCAGUUGUCCUCCAGCGAGUGGGUGUGAUGAGUCUUUAAAUAAUUCCAAUACUGGUCCCGGAAUAGCUAUUCGAAUCCGGGGUGCCCCAGCGAUGUUAUCGCUGUCGUGGAGAAAGAUUUGUUGCAGAACAGGAGUGAUGCAAGUUAUUGACAUUGACGUUAACCCUAUCCCCAAGAAAAUAAAUAAGGACUGGUUUUUAUUUUGCAAAACCAUGUUCAUCCUUUUAGAAAAACAUUAUCUUUACCGCUGUUCAUUGUGUACAUUCCUUUAUCAGUUCCUCAAUUUUUUUUUUGUUUUGAUUUGGUCAUCAAACUUCUGUUUCUUUUAAUUUGAUUCUCAAAUGGUUUUUUUUGUUAUCCUGGAUUUUUUCAUUCUCAAUGAUGUUGGGAAGGGCAGAUUGAAACUUGAAAAAAAAAAUAUUUGAUUAUAUUUUUAGUUUUUAGGCCAAUUAAAAUAUGUUUGGUGGUUAAAAAUAGGUUUAAAGGAUGUGUUUUUCAUUUUUUUGGAUAAAACAACUUGGACCCUCAUUUUCUAAUCAUCAAAGUCAUCUUUAGUGAUCUAAAAAAAUAUAUAAUAAACAAUGCGUCGUUUAUUAAAAUUUAAGGUGAAUAAUAUAUUUUUCACCAAAAAAAAACAAGCACUCUCGAGUUUCCUUGUAGCCAUGCACGCAUAUCCAACUCAUGCAUGUGUGUUUAAUCCUUUAAUUUUUUUUAUCUUAACAAUAAUAAUAAAAAAGAAAUCUAAUAGGAAAUAAAAUAAUGAAGAAUGAAAAUUCUUCUUCCUCUUCCUUCACUAGCAACGAGUUUGACCGUUGAGUUUAAUAUUUAAAUGAAGUGAUAAAUUAUCAUCUAGUUUUGUUUCUCUUGGUACACGAGUUUGUCCUCUUCUCUUGUUUUCUUUUUUCUUUAUAAUCGAAACUCGGAAGUGUCUAUGUAUUAUUCACUGCUUACAAGCUAGUAAGAAUUGUUGCAGAGAUGAACAACAAGCGAACAGAAUUAGAGAAAGAUGCUGCAAUGCAGAGGAAGAAGAAAAUGUUUCUAUGUAUUAUUCACUGCUUACAUUCCCAAUACUGUUACAUUCAUUUUAUAUCAACAGAAGGUGGCUGAAGCAGAGGUGGCUGAAGCAGAGUCUUUGAUAUCUUGACAUUCCCCUGCAAUCAUAUGCUUGGAGGAACCAAGCAUAAGAUUGGAACAGUGACGUCGAAAUAAAAGAACGGACAAACCUUUAGUUAGUAUAUCAGCAAACUGAUCUGCAGAAGAAUAUGCUAUUGAAGCCAUAGAAUCUGGAAACAUGGACCCUGCGAGUAUACUUGAGCAGAUUAAGCUUCAAAUUGCUAAUGUUAAGGAGGAAUCUUUUAGCAAGAAAGAAAUACUUGAAAAGGUUGAGAAAUGGUUGACUGCAUGUGAAGAGGAGAGCUGACUUGAGGAAUAUAACAGGGAUGACAAUCGAUACAAUGCUAGGAAAGAUGCUCAUCGGACUCUCAAGUGUGCUGAGAAAGCUCGCAAUUUGGUUAGUAAAAUACCAGGUAUGGUGGAGGCUGUGGCUUCCAAAACCAUGACAUGGUAAAGCGAGAGAGACACUAAAUUCCUCUAUGAUGGUAUCCGCCUUCUUUCUAUGCUUGAAGAGUACACCAUAUUACGCAAGGAGAUAGAGGAAGAAAGAUGGAGUCAGUGGGAUUAGAAGGAACAGUUUUAGAGUGCAAGAGAUAGAAAAGAAGAGAAUCAAAAAUUGAGAAGGAAGACUCUUGCAGGAAGUUGAAGAUUUGAAGAAGAAUUUUUUUCAGUUUGACAAUAUAUCAAACAGAUGAUUAUUAUUAUGAAAGAAUUGGUUUUAUAAGGUGAUAAUAAUGCUAGAAACAAGAUUAACAAGAUAUUAGAAGCUUUGAAAUUGAGAAGUAGUCAUCAUUUUUAGAGUUCAAGAGACAGAGAGGAAGAGAAUCACAGAUUUGAGA